CCUACGGGAGGCAGCAGUAGGGAAUCUUGGACAAUGGGGGCAACCCUGAUCCAGCCAUGCCGCGUGAGUGAAGAAGGCCCUAGGGUCGUAAAGCUCUUUCGCCUGUGAUGAUAAUGACAGUAGCAGGUAAAGAAACCCCGGCUAACUCCGUGCCAGCAGCCGCGGUAAUACGGAGGGGGUUAGCGUUGUUCGGAAUUACUGGGCGUAAAGCGCGCGUAGGCGGAUUGGAAAGUUGGGGGUGAAAUCCCGGGGCUCAACCCCGGAACUGCCUUCAAAACUCCCAGUCUAGAGUUCGAGAGAGGUGAGUGGAAUUCCGAGUGUAGAGGUGAAAUUCGUAGAUAUUCGGAAGAACACCAGUGGCGAAGGCGGCUCACUGGCUCGAUACUGACGCUGAGGUGCGAAAGUGUGGGGAGCAAACAGGAUUAGAUACCCUGGUAGUCCACACCGUAAACGAUGAAUGCCAGUCGUCGGAUAGUAUACUAUUCGGUGACACACCUAACGGAUUAAGCAUUCCGUCUGGGGAGUACGGUCGCAAGAUUAAAACUCAAAGGAAUGACGG
rnacentral:rRNA from 1 species